rnacentral:rRNA from 1 species
AGGCUUAACACAUGCAAGUCGAACGGUAACAGGGAUUAGCUUGCUAAUCUGCUGACGAGUGGCGGACGGGUGAGUAAUGCUUGGGAAUCUGGCUUAUGGAGGGGGAUAACUACGGGAAACUGUGGCUAAUACCGCGUAAAAUCUUCGGAUUAAAGGGUGGGACUUUCGGGCCACCUGCCAUAAGAUGAGCCCAAGUGGGAUUAGGUAGUUGGUUAGGUAAAGGCUGACCAAGCCGACGAUCUCUAGCUGGUCUGAGAGGAUGACCAGCCACACUGGAACUGAGACACGGUCCAGACUCCUACGGGAGGCAGCAGUGGGGAAUAUUGCACAAUGGGGGGAACCCUGAUGCAGCCAUGCCGCGUGAAUGAAGAAGGCCUUCGGGUUGUAAAGUUCUUUCGGUGACGAGGAAGGUUGAUAGGUUAAUAGCCUAUCAAAUUGACGUUAAUCACAGAAGAAGCACCGGCUAACUCCGUGCCAGCAGCCGCGGUAAUACGGGGGGUGCGAGCGUUAAUCGGAAUAACUGGGCGUAAAGGGCACGCAGGCGGUGACUUAAGUGAGAUGUGAAAGCCCCGAGCUUAACUUGGGAAUUGCAUUUCAUACUGGGUCGCUAGAGUACUUUAGGGAGGGGUAGAAUUCCACGUGUAGCGGUGAAAUGCGUAGAGAUGUGGAGGAAUACCGAAGGCGAAGGCAGCCCCUCGGGAAUGUACUGACGCUCAUGUGCGGAAGCGUGGGGAGCAAACAGGAUUA